AAGCAACCAAACCAUCAUCGGUAGCAGAGAGGGAAAACAAACCUCCUUUAGUCCAGUUUGUUGUUGAAACACUUGCUGUUAGUUUCAUCCCGGAUACUAACCUCUGCCCUGGAACUAAAGCAUCAGUCGGGUGAUCAAACGAUUGCCAAACAGUUGCAUUCUUCGAAUCAAACAGAACAAGAUUCCCCUCAUCUGUCAAGUUUAAGCCAGCAAU
rnacentral:misc_RNA from 1 species